GAUCGACAUCUUUGCCAAGACUCGUUGGCGUAUAGUUUUGUGAAUUAGUUUAAGAUUUUUGUAUGGAUUUUGCCAAGACUCGUUGGCGUUGAGAUCUAGUUUUUUUGUGAUUAUUAUGUCGUUUAUCAUGGAUUUAUUCACCAGUGCACGGUGAAAUAUUAUCGAGGUUUUCUCGAUGCAAACGUCGUUCAAUUCGUCUCCUUCGAACUCCUUGUGAUGUAAUCAAGAAAUUUUCAUGAAUCGUUGUCACGAUUCAUGAAAAUUUCUACCAAAGCAGCAAUGUUGUGUUGCAUUUUAUAAUUUGAGAUAAAUUUUUGGAUACGGUAUUGAGCACUUUGCAAACUUCAUUUAAAUUACCCAUUUCCCCUUUAGAAUAACGAGCGUGUAAUUCAGCGAAAACGAACAAACGCAAACACCGAACCAAAACAAAGAGCAAAAUUUCACUAAAUUCGAACCGCAAGUCAACCAGACAUAGAACAUUUUUCGGGACGAUUUGAAUAAACGUCGGUUAAAAAUGAAACGCACGAAAAGAUGACAGCCAGAUUUUGAUUUGGUGCGGAAAAGGUGGUACGUCUGCUAGAAAAAGUCACCGAAAUUUCCGACAGUGGUUCUUUUUCGUUCGGCCUUGCUGCUUGCAACAAGUGUCGGUGUCGGUGCGAUCAAAAGUAAAACGCGUGUCGAGGAAAGGCGUGUCAUUAGUGCCAAGAAAUAGGGGUAACUCGUGCAGGAGCACUCGGCUACCUUCGGAGGAAAAGCGCCCACUGAAAAGAGGUUGCAAUCAACCGUGGGUCUGGAGCCGCAGCUGGAACAGCAGAACAUAACCUCAAAAGGGGUCGGAAGUGUAAGUUGCCCCAAAACAAAUGUUCCGACAAUCCUUCCUGAUUAGAAAACUUUCCACCUCUAAACAGGACCCCUCUUUUAUCUCUACCUUGGAUGGUAUUCUGAUUCUUCGACCCGACCGAAGCUAACAAAAAUAGCCCGAAAAGAAACUGGCUGUUUAGCGCACGGACAUCACUUUCGCAGGAUCAACCAUUCGAUUUAAAUUUGGCCACCACUACUUCUACGUGUGAGGGGAGAAAGCUUGUUUUCAUCUGGAGCGACAGCCACGCAACCUGUUAGGCUGUUGUGUUCCGGAAAUCCAACCAACCAGAAGAUUUCAUUUUUCGUGACUGGUUCAUCGUUCAUCGCGCACGGAGGAAAAAGUCGCAGCAAGAAUCCGAACGCGUGGGGCACAGGCGUGCUCAAAGGAGGUGCUAGUCAUGCAUCAGUCCCGGGGACCAUUGAACGGGAUUCUAGCGAUGGCGGGACCAACAACAACAAGCAUCGCUCCGAGCAUUGACCUGGGCAGAAUGCCUGAUCCGACUCAUGGAAGGAAGUGGCCCGAUACAGGACCAACAAGGCUGGAAAUCGACAAAAUUCCACCCAAGGAGGUCGGGCCGAAUUGCCAGAAGAGGCAACAUGCAGAUCCCGUGUAAGUCGUUUGAUGUUCGAUAAUUCUGGGGGGGGAAUCAAUAAAUGGGACUAAAUUUUGUAAAAUUCAA